UACGUAGGGGGCAAGCGUUGUCCGGAAUCAUUGGGCGUAAAGCGCGUGUAGGCGGCUGAGUAAGUCUGCUCUGAAAGCCCGGGGCUCAACCCCGGAACUGCAUUCGAUACUGCCUGGCUUGAGUACUGGAGAGGAGAUUGGAAUUUACGGUGUAGCAGUGAAAUGCGUAGAUAUCGUAAGGAAGACCAGUGGCGAAGGCGGAUCUCUGGACAGUUACUGACACUGAGGCACGAAGGCCAGGGGAGCAAACGGG
rnacentral:rRNA from 1 species